rnacentral:tRNA from 1 species
GCCCGGGUGGUGGAAUGGUAGACACGCAGGACUUAAAAUCCUGUGGCCGUUGAGGCCGUACGGGUUCGAGUCCCGUCCCGGGCA